UACGUAGGGUGCAAGCGUUAAUCGGAAUUACUGGGCGUAAAGCGUGCGCAGGCGGUGAUGUAAGACAGUUGUGAAAUCCCCGGGCUCAACCUAGGAACUGCAUCUGUGACUGCAUCGCUGGAGUACGGUAGAGGGGGAUGGAAUUCCGCGUGUAGCAGUGAAAUACGUAGAUAUGCGGAGGAACACCGAUGGCGAAGGCAAUCCCCUGGACCUGUACUGACGCUCAUGCACGAAAGCGUGGGGAGCAAACAGG
rnacentral:rRNA from 1 species